CUCAUUUCUUCUUUCUUCCUCGCAGCAGCUUACUUCGACCUCUCUUCUUUCUUUUCAUCACUCCUUCCACCCCUUCAUCUAUUAUCAACCACAAAUCCUAACCUACCAUUCUUCUGAUUCUAAUGCUUCGCCGUAAUCUGUUGCCUCGCGACUAUAUCUGGAAACAGGAACAAAAGCAUGGAAACAAAUCGAAUCUAAACAAAUAGAACUUUUUGUAGGUUUCCAGGUUGCAUGAUGACAUGGCACCGGUAAUGUGCUGAUGUGGACUAUUUAUUAAAGUCAAUUCUUCUUUUUUAAGACCUAGAAACCUCUGCCGUUGUAAACUUGAGCUCGAAAAAUCUCACCCGCGGAUGAUGCAAGUUUGAAUCGUCGAGAAGCUUCAGAGAAUGGGGAGAGAGGUGGCUGGACAAAAUCCGUCGUCGGCGCUGUCGUACAUGGUGGAGCAACUCAUCGUCAUCAAUCCUUACAAUUCAGACAUCCUCCCUGAUCUCGAGAAUUACGUCAAUGAACAGGUUUCUUCACAAACUUACAAUUUGGAUGCAAAUCUUUGCCUGAGAGGAUGAGUACACAAAUUGUUGCUCGCAUUUUGGUCAAGGCUAAGAUGGCCAUGCCAGCGCCAGAUUUCAGCCUUUGUCUUUUCUUAAUCCCAGAACUAGUGCAAAUGGAAGAACAAUUCAAGACUGUAAUUGUUCUCUCACACUACUUGGAGACAGCAAGAUUCUGCCAAUUUUGGGAUGAGGAAGCUAAGAGUUGUCAUAUAGUAGAAGAUGUGUAGUCAAGCUUUGAACAUGUAAUUCAAAUGUAUGUGAUUCAUGUUUUUCAUGCAAUUCAAAUGUAUGCGACGGUGACGGCCA